CCCGCUGUGGGAGCAGGGUGCAGCAGAGUGCAGACCUAGGGACAGCCGGAGAGCUUUGGGAUGUGGGUGUGGCCAGGAGCCACUGGGAUUUGCUCCCUGGGAGAGUAGCACCUGUGGAACGGUCCCACAUAGGACAGUGGGUCCUGGAGGAGUCCCGCGAGGGGGUGUUUCUGUCCCGGGGGUGGUCGUGUCCCAGGCACAAGCUCCCCUUUGUGUCUGGGGAAGCCCUGGGCAGUAGAAUCCAUGGAGUUGGAGGUGGGUUUCGUCCCCGCAAGUGCACAGAGUAAAGGGAGUGCCUGCAGCCAGAGUCAGGAGUCCCAGGAAUUGGGCCAGGACCACAGCCCCUUCUGCCUUCCUGAGAGGCACUGAGGGGCCCUGCCCCCUGGGUCUGUGUAAACCUAGGGUGGUCUCCUUGUCGUUUGUGAGACUGAUCAUCCCGGGUGGGAAGUCCUUCUGAGUGACAGCCAUCCGUACCCCCUGCCCCACCCCCGGGAGACUGGCUUCUCCACACCCAGCACCUGCUGCAGAUGGAGGUUCCACUUAGGACGGGGCCUCUGUGCUUCGUGCCUGAGCCUGAGACGAUCCCGCCGGAGGCCGAUUUCCAGCCCCGCUCACCGGUGGAUCGGAAAGGGCCCAGAGUGCAGGACCCUGGGCUGCAUGAAGUACAGGCAGCAGCAUGGCCAGCAUGGAGGACCCCAGUCACUGAAAGUGCCUUUAUGCAGCUCCAGCAGGGCCUCCCCACAGUCUCCCCAUCCCUAAAUUCACUUGGAACCUGCAACUGAACCUUCUGGGGCUCUGGUCACUGGCUGCCUUCAAGGGAGUGGGGCCAGGGGACCAGGACUGACAGAACAUGACCUGAGGUCAAGGACGGCCGGCCGCGGCAGCUCAAAGGAGGAGGAGACUGGUGUGGACCGCGGGGAGGCAGGUGGCUGGGUGAUGACAGGCACAGCACUGGAGAGACUGCAGAGGCUGGGAUGUGAGCCUACAUCAGGGCAGGAGCUACAGAUGAGUAAACGGAAGCACAGAGCGGUGAAGUCUUGACUCCAGGAGUCUGAGACAUGCCCUUGUACCAAUGGCUGAGGGGGCCCCGCCUUCCUGUCCACUGUGACCAGGAUGCUCCUGCUCUGUUCCAGACUCUGUUCCAGUGAGAAGGAAUACACAGACCUUGGACUGACCGUCCCAGAGGCGGAACUCCUUGUGGGUGCUGCCAGAGCUGCGGGGCUGAGAGCUGCGCAGAACAGAGGUCAGAUGAUGAGACUGGGGCUGCAGGAGCAGCUGAUUCCAUCUUGCCCUGCAGGAAAGACUGGGAGGCCGUCCCCGUGGUCUCACUGGCCUCUGCAUGGUGACCGGGGUCUCCAGGGGAGUGGCCGGGUGCCCUGUUGGACGUUCUGUAGCGAAUUUGUCUCUGGGAGAAGAGCAGAGAGAUGAAGGCCUCCAUGCCACAGCCCAGGCCGUGUGCAUUUGGUGUUGACCUUGGCCACAGGCCGAGGGCGCGUCUGCGAGGUCUCUGCAUUGCAAGGCCCUUCUCCUCCUGAACUGAAGGCCUUCUUCCUCCUUUCCCCUCCUGAUUCUCUCGCCCUCCUGGUGCAUCCAGGUGCCUGUGAUCCUGUUCCCGUCCUCAGCAUCCCGGGCUCCGUUCUUUCCACCUGGCGUGUCGUUCCCUGAGCUGGAAGCUCCUGCCUGGGUCCUGUCCUCCUGCUGUUCCUCAUCCAAAGUUUCAUGGACACCAAGACAGGCAGCGCCCUCCACCACAAGCUGGGGAGCCCUCGGGCCCUGGUGUCACCACAUCUUCUUGGACACCUCCACCUUCCUGGCUUCUGCCUCUUCUUCCUUCUGACGUCUUUGUCCUGCAGACACCCUGGGUCUUGCUCUGGGUGAGGCAUCCUGGAGCUGAGACCUUGAGGCCUGACCUAGUGGUGCCCCUCGGCACGGCCCCUUCCUGACAACACAGUGGUGUCACAGGAUUGAUUCUAAUGCCUCAUGCUCCCUAACAGUGAAAGUGACAGUCAACUGGGCCUGUAGCAUGUUCAGAGGAGCUGGCGAGGAACCCCCUGGCGCCCAGGAAAGCUGGAUCUAGCGCAGCCCCGCACAGCCUUGGUGGAGGCCAGCUGUGCCGUUUGCCACAUGCCCUGGGGUGCACGCUGUCUGAGGGUGCACCCUGUGCAGUGACAUGGUGGUAGCCCCCAUGUGGAGGGAACAACAGCAGUGAAGACCCAGGAACCGCCGGCUUCCAGGAGGAGGCCCUGGUCUUUCUUCAGAGCAACUUCGAGGUGUGACCCAGGAUACACUUUGGAGAAUGCUGUCCGAUGGGCAGCCCCGGCCUCUGGUGGAAGUACACGUCCCUCAUCCCAAUAUAAGUGCGGGCCAACUCCUUGUGCGGAUACCCAGGUGUUCACUUCCCUGUCCAUGGAGCACACAUGAAGCACCUACUGAGUGCAGGGGCACCACAGGUGUUGGGCAGAAGGGGCAGCUGGAGGGCUUUGGGGCCGGGGAGGGACAGGAGGUGCUCGCUCUCGUCCUUCCUUGAGUGGGGCUGUCUCAAGAGCUGGGUUCAAGGGUGAUGCUUCCCUUGUCUGUUGUAGGCCUAAUGGAGGAUCCGGGGCAGCAGGACCCAGAGAAGUUGUCUCUGGCCAUGAGCUUGGCCCUGAGCUCUGUGAGUGGCUCUGCCCUCCCUGCUUGUCCAGGUGCCUCCCGCAUCCCAAGCUCAGGGCAGCCCGGGUCUUUCAGUUCAGUGCUGAAGAGAGUGCCCUCCAUGUGUGCCCGCCAUCUCUUCGGAAGGCCGCCUCUGCUCUGAGGGUGCGGUGUGGGCCCUUACUCUUUGAAGGGUUGCGGUGAUGGAUGGGUGAGCGUGUGUGGGGUUCGAGAGUGACCCAGGUCGGUCCUACCACCUGGAGCUUGCAGACGGGAGCCCCAGGUGAGAGUGGGGUUCCUCCCAACUAGGGGGCAGUGGGAGGUGCUGGCUGGGUCUGUCUCCCGUGAGGGCCGGGCCCAGGUGACUGUCGAUGGUGAGAGGGGUGUGGCCGCCCUCCCGAGAGCCCACAGUCAGUGGAUCAGGAGCAAAUGUCUCAGCCUCGAAGGUGCCUAAGGCCCUUGCCCAGCUGCGGUUGAGAACCUUCUGCAGGCCAAGCAAAUGGGAGCUGCAGCAGGGAGAUUAGGCAGCCUGCCGGCCGUGGGAUCGGCUGCAACAGGGAACCUGGGGUCUGCUCCUGGGAACACCUUCCUGGGCUGCCCCUACCUGGCCGAUUGGACCCAGGUGGCGGCUCUAACCCAUCCUGCCCACCGUGCGGGCCUGAGGUGCGUGAACAGGAUCCAGGCCCAUGGCCACUAACUGUGUUAUUCCUGUGCGUUCCUUGCCACCAACCCUCCCACCCCAGGCCCCUCCACCUGAGUCCUCAGCCCUAAGGCCCCUGUGUCUCUGCCCCCAGAGCCAGGCACGGGGCCAGCACCCAGAGUUUGUGGCCCUCUUUUGCUACUGAUUCAUCCGUCUGGGACUGGGUUCUGGUCAAGGGGACUUCCUGAGAAGCCAGUGGGGCUUAGCUUCCAGCUUCGGGGUCCCUUCUUGCACGGACCUCUGCAACACCCUGCACCCUGCACCCAAGUUUUGUGCGGCCUACCAUCCUCUGGGCCUGGGACUUGAGGCAUCCCAGCCUCUUCCUACCACCAUGUGGGGCAUUAAUCAUAGGGUUGACAUUCUCCCCACUGGACACAACAGUGCGUCCACUUUUGAAGCUGUCAAAAGAGCUGUGUAUGAUUCAGGGCAAAAUGGGAUUCUCAGAAUCCCCAGAAUUCACUGGGGAAAAUAAUGAAAUGAAGGAGAAAUAUAAUCCAGCAAAGACCCUGCUAGCCCCCUGGGGGUUCUGGCAGAGCCAGGGUCCCUGCCCCAGCUUGCACCCCAGGAGUUAUGUGGAGGAAGUGAGCAGUGCCUCCUUCAUGCUUUCUGACUGCUCUGGCCAGAACCCCACUGCAGUAGAUGAGAAACUGCUGCAGAGCCCAGGAAGGAGAUCCUGCCCUGGGCUGGCCCCCAGCUUUCUCCAGCCGUCACCCCCCAAACUAGUUGUGCCUAGAAGCUCCCAGGGGUUGUGAGGUCAUUGCCCAGAUGUGUGUCGGCCAGGCCUGUGGUUGCUAGUUAGUAACUGUCCAAGGGGGGGCACUGGACCAUCUCCUGCAGGAGCCGCUGCACUGUGCCCGGUCCCAGGUAGGAAUUCAGGCCUUGCCAGGGCACCAAGGGACCCACUGUGGGACCAGCAACCUGGCUGCCUGCACAGGUGGCAGAAGAUUUCAGUAGAAACAGCACCAAGCAGUGCCAGGACCCCUGGGCCAGGCCAGGAUUAGGAAAGCAAAUUGGACCUGUUAGAAAACUCCGGGGCCAGCAGGGAAGCGGGGAGCCUGCCCUGUGUCAGCCAAAUGGUUAAAGGAGAAGAGUAGAAUCCAGGGGAAAUCAAGCCGUCAAUCAGCCUGAUGCAUAUUCAUGAGGCGCCAGCCCUCCCCGGGCCUGUGCAGCAGUGUGCUCCCCUCUGUCUGAGCUGCUGUGACAUGGCAGCUUCCGCCUCCGCCUGCCUGCAGUCAGCCCCGAUUGGCCCAGCCGCUCUCUUGAAAAUGCCAUAGCAACCCCUGGCUGGUUGCCUAGCAAUUCCUCCCUUUUCCCUUUUCCUCCCCUAAAGCCCAAGCCAGUAAUCCACAGGCUACUAGUGGAACAUGUCUCUGUGCCAUGGCAAGUGCCUGUGUGUGUGUGUGUGUGUGUGCACGCGUGUGUGUGAGAGGACAGAUCUGGAAGGGACCACUUCCUGCCAGCAGCGUCUCAAAGACUUGGGAGUGCACCUGCUGCCUGUCUCAGUACCAGCUCACCUGCUCAGGGGAAGGGGACAUGGGGGCAUAGACCCCUGGCCCUGGCAGGGCAUCCUGUGCUGCUCACUUCAUUAUCACCAACCAGGAUCCCCAAACCUGAGUCACUGGGGAGCCGUGGCUGCCAUCAGCAUGGUGGGAUGGAGGGUUGGCCUUCAGCCCUCCCAGGUUCCUUGAUGCUGAAGCAAAGAUGACUUUGACGCUCAGGCCCCAGCCAGCGGAAGGACAACGGGCUUCUGCCAUUCCGUGGACCAAUGUGGGUCCGAAGGGUCCACCAUUCUGCACAGGGCCAACUUCAGGGCAGCUGUCCGGGGCUGCAGAUGCUCCCUCACAGGCCAGGUGGGGCUUUCAGCUGUGACAAAGUCCGGAUGUCCACCCCUGGUGAAGCCACUAGGAGGCUGUGGGGGAGCCGAGGGCAGUGUCUAGGAGCCAUUGAGUUCAUCUCAAGGCUCUCUUUCCUCUUGGAUAGUGUGUGCCUGUUUGCAUGUGUGUGCCUGUUUGCAUGUGUG